GGCAAUAAUGCAAAGGGUCAUUUCCCCACCAUCCCCUCUGCUCCUGACAUGUCCGCUCUGGGGUUGGGGGUGGGGGGAUCAUUAAGAACAGCUGCGUGAACGAGAUCAAGCAGAAGAACACCUGGCAGCUGGCAAGAAAGGGGUUUGUUCCGUAGCUUAAUAUAAGGCGGGUGCCGUCCUUGAAUCACAGAGGAGCAGAAGAAACCUGGACCCCCUUAGAAGCCCACGGUUUGGCUGAAAUU
rnacentral:lncRNA from 1 species